GAGGGUGUAGCUCAUGGGUAGAGCACGAGCUUAGCAUGCACAAGGUCCUGGGUUCAACCCCCAGUACUUCCU
rnacentral:tRNA from 1 species